UCCUCGCGGAGCGAGGCGCGGUCGCAGCCUGGGAGGACUCGCCUUGGCGCCGCGGAAUUCUCCGGGUUUCCACGCAGGGUCAGGGUUCCUUCCGGCUGGCCACCUCUCGCCACAGUGUCCUCCCAUCAAAAGGACGGCUACUUUCUGGGGAAAGGCCUAGGCUGCAGACGUGACACAAAUUAUGCUCGCAUGACGGGCGCCUCCGAGUUGGCCUAGAGAGGUUGCCGUGGGGACUGUGCAGCAGGAGGGAGUCUGCCUGGCGAGGAUGUCACGUUGCUCUUCAGCCAGGAAACAAACAAACAAAGCAAAAACAUCUAUUCAUCUGGAUUUUAUUCAUUUGUUUUAAAUACAAACAAAAGGAGAGAGGAGACAUGGUUAUUUCUGCAGCAACUAUUUCAAAUGCAACUUAUUCCAUCGCUCCAGGUGUUCCAAUGGUGUUUGUCACCGUAAGACCCACGGGGCUAGUUCCGACCAUUAUACGUAUUUCAAUGCCGCAUUCCAAAAGGGGAACACCUGCCACUUCUUCAAAGUCAGCUGAUCAUUUGGAAUGAUGGACGGCACGGCUGCCGAUGACGUUCCCCUUUCAAGUCUCUUUGUCUAAGUGAAUUAUCGUGCAUCCUUUUAAUUUUAUUGAACAAAUUACAUUUGUCAAGGUCUAUCUUUGUAAAUAAAUGAUAACUAGAGACACA
rnacentral:lncRNA from 1 species